AUCGUUCAUAAACAUCAGAACGAGCUCCUGUCAACAAGUAAGCUACAAUUGUGUCUUUCGUUGUAAAUAGUAUCAUUCAUUACCUAUUAAAACCUUUUUAGCAGUGAUUGCUUCGCAAUUUAUGAUAACAAAUUGGAAAAAGUGAAUUAAUUUUAAUAUGAGUGCAAACAUGAACACAGUUAGUUCAUUAAAGCGCCCAUUAACAGUGCCAAGUGACUCUUGUAAAUUAUUAGUUUGUAAAAUUUGUGAAAAAGAUGAUAAUAUUUUAGGACUGAAAACAUGUGGCUGCCUUUUAUGUGACUCUUGUGAUGGUGAUUCUCGGAAUAAAUGUAUUUCAUGUGAUUCUGAAGUUGAUCCAAAGAUAAAGCUGACAUUCACAAAGAAUCUAAAAUGCAAGUUUUAUGAGAGCAACAAGUGCUAUAGUUUUGCUGAAUACAAGUGUAAAUGCAUACCAAAUUGUUUCGUCUGUGAUUCGUGUCUUAACUUCAUUCACCGUAAAAGGGUGCGUGAAUCUUGUGUUCCUGAAAUUUUGACACCCAAAGUUACCAAUAAUCCUGAACCAUGUCAGCUGUGUAAAGAAUUUAUUGCUGAAUUUGAAAUGACUUCGGAACCUUAUACAAAAAUUUGCUUCGAAUGUAAAACAAGCAGUAAUUCAAAAUGUAUUCCAUAUGAAAGAAAUUCUGAUGAAGAUUUAGAUUGGGAUCAGCUUUACAAAGAAUUUAUCUCUUCCUGUGUAUCUUCCGAUAAAAUUAAGAAAAUUGAAGAUGAACUAGAAGCAAGCUGUUUAGAUCGUGAACAGAGGAUAAGACAAGGCAAAGAGUCAAUAUCUGAAAUGCAGAAAUGUUUGGACGAAUAUACCGAACAAUAUGACCGACACAUUGCUUUGCUUAAACAGCAACUUGAUAAUUUAAAAAAGGAGCCGGCCUAUAUGAGGCCCGAUGGUACAACUAAAACUAUUCUUGAUCUUCUCAAAGCUAAACAAUUGAUGCUACAUGGAAAGAAUGGAAAAGAGCAAAUAAUUAGUUUUCUGAACCAUUAUCGGGGAAAAAAUGACUCCAAUCCUCGAUAUCCUUUAGCUGAACAAAUCAAGACAUUAGCUGUACAAAACGAUACCAGUAGUCAACAUGCUUUGGAGUUUCCAUUGCCUUCAUCAUUAAACUCAGUGAAGUCGGAAGACCACAGUCCCUCAACUUUACCUUCAUCACCCAUUCCUGGUAUUUCAGCAAAGUCGGAGUUAUGUGCUCAAGAAAUUAGCAACAAUGAAGUCAAGCCGUUUGUUGUUAUGGUUGAGAAGCCAUCUACAGUACAACAGCGUAAAAAAAUACUGAAAGCUAUUCAGAAACAUGAAGAUAAAUGGGUACGCAAAGAGCAAUUUGCCGUUCACGAAAAUGUUAUUAUAUUCGAUGCUGAUACAACUGACACGUUCAAAUGCAAGAGAGCUAAAGUUUUAAGCAAAGGAAAUCGUCAUUCCACAGUCUUUCUUCUUGAUUUUGGCUUUGAAAUCACAGUCAAAAAUAGUUCCAUUGGUCUAAUUAGCCACCUCGAAAUCCCUACAAAUGGAAAAAAAACUUGUUUCCUUGCUCUAUUCACGGGGAGUAUUAAUGUCAAUUGUGACUUAAAGCAAAAGGAUUGGAUUUCCGAAAUUUCCCAAAUCCAGAAUGGCUUUCCUAAGGCUCAGCACAUAAAUAUUAUUGAUUAGUCAGAACGAAGAUUCUUGUUCAUUUUUUUUACAAUUCAAACGAUAUUCCAAGAUUGCACUCUAUUUGUUGACAUUGAAUUUGACUUCGUUCGCAAAUAUAAUAUAUGUAAAUAGUUUUAUACUCAUUUACACGAGUUUUAGUAGACUUGGGGCCAAUUGUAUCCAAAGAUUAAGGUACCUAAAUAAUUGAUUGUACCAGCAAUUACAGUUAAUACUUCACGAAUAAUUAGUAUAAUUAUCAGGAAUGAAUAAUUCACACUUUAUAAUAACAAAUUAACAAGAGUUGAUCUAUUUUAUAUCAUACAUGCAAUUGAUUAGAGCGAAGCUUCCUCUUGAUGAACAAAAUGACUCCACUGUUGUCUUUCUCCUUGAAUUUGGCUUUGAAGUUACAGUCAAAAAUAGUUCAAUCGGUAAAAUCAAAGAAAUCAAAAUUGAUGGACAAAACUUGUUUCAACAAAGGUGUUCAGUUUGAAUAUCCUCAUGACUUUAGAUAAAAGCUGUUAAAAAAUAAUUAGAAUGCAAUCAAAAUAAGAGUUCAGAGUUCAUUUCAGUGUAUGAUUUAUCGUCUUCAGCAAAACAUCUGCUCGCAAUUAAUAUAUUACUUGAAAGGUAUCAUCUCCCAGUGUUUUAUUGAAAGUGUAAUUCAGUUCACUUAUUUAGCUAAAUGAAGAUCAUAAAGACGAAAGUUUAGCUUUUAAACAUUUCAACCUUUUCCGUAAUUUUGCUGGUCUAUGAAUAUUUUUUUCCUGGAUAGUAAUUACAAUGCUAAUCUACUUCAAACGGUUCUUGAUUUUGCUAUUUUAAGGCCUUUUAAUGUGUAACAAAUAUUGAAUGCAUAUCAAAAGAAACAGAUGAUAUUAUUCCAAUAAUAUUUUAUUCUAAUAUUAGUAUCCAUUCGGUACUACCGGUAAUAUUAUUACUUAUUAUAAUAAUACUAAAAAAUAAAUAUUGCAAAUGUUUCAUCAUAGUCUAUUACGAAACAUUUAGGUGAAGAGCGAUUUUAGAAUCUAAAAUUUAGAUUUCAGGUUUGAUCGAUUUAAAUUAGAAAUUCGAUGUAUCGAUUUUUACUGUAAACAAAUCAUAGAAACUCAGCAUAUAAAAGGCAUAAAUGUAACAAUUUGGUAAAGAUUUGAUGAAGAAUAAUAAAUUGACAUUUUUGGGCUUAGUUCUGUUUCUUCCAAACUCUUAACUAAUGGAUCUUGACUUCGACAAUCGUGAACCCCUUAAGGCAAUCAUGCUGGUUUUCGAUUUUAUAAACAAAUCAUCGAUCACAAAGUUAGCAACAAAGAGUAAAGAAGCUUCUUUACUCUUUGAAGCAAGCAAUGAUCGAUUUUAUCGAUAAUCGAAUCAAUCGGUCACUGACAUCAUAACGUUUUCUCGCCAACAAGUUAAGCAACAAUUGUGUCUUUCUCGAAAAUUAAAUCAAUCAUUUCUAAUUAAAACCUAUUUAGCAGUGUUUGCUUCAAAAUUUGUAAUAACAAAUUAACAAAAGUGAAUAAAUCUAAUUAUAAGUGCAAAAAUCAACAUGGUUAGUUUAUUAAAGCGUUUAUCUACAGUGCCUAGUGACUCUUUUAAAUUGUUAGUUUGCAAAAUUUGUAAAAAAGGUGAUAAUAUUUUAGGUUACAAAACUUGUGGAUGCCUUUUAUGUGACUCUUGUGACGGCGAUUCUCGGGAUAAAUGUAUUUCAUGUGAUUCUGAAGUCGACCCAAAGAUAAAGUUAACAUUCACAAAGAAUCUAAGAUGCAAGUUUUAUGAGCGCAACAAGUGCUAUAGUUUUGCUGAAUACAAAUGUAAAUGUCUUAACUGUCCUGUCUGUGAAUUGUGCCUUAACUUCGUUCACCGGAAAAGGGUGAGUGGAUCUUGUGAUCCUGAAGUUUUGACAUCCAAAGUUACCACUAACUCUGAACCAUGUCAAUUGUGCAGAGAAUUUAUUGCUGAAUUUAAAAUGACUUUGAAACCAUAUGCAAAAAUUUGCUUCAAUUGUUCAACAAACAGGAGUUCUAUAUGCAUUCCCUUUGAUAGAAAUUCUGAUGGAGAUCUAGAUUGGAAUCAGCUUUACAAAGAUUUUGAACAAUCUUCCCAAAUGGCUUCCGAUAAUAUUAAAAAAUCAGAACACGUAUUGGAAAUCAGCAUUUCAGCUCGUGAAGAGAAGAUAAAAUUAUGCAAGGAUUUAAUAUCUGAAAUACAAAAGUGUUUAGACGAAUUUACUGAACAAUAUGAUCGAUCCAUUGUAACACUCAAACAGCAACUUGCCGAUUUAAAAAAGGAUGCGGACUAUUUGAGACCCGAUGGUACAACUAAAACUAUUCUUGAUCUUCUCAAAAAUAAAGAAUUGACUUUACAUGGAGAAAAUGGAAAAGAGCAAAUAACUAAUUUUUUGAACUAUUAUCGAGAAAAGAAUAACUACAAUCCUGUAACUGAACAAAUAAAGACAUUGCUUUCCUCAUUCGACUCAGCGAAGUUGGGUUUAAGUGUUGAUAGUGUAGGAGUUAGCGACAAUGGAGUCAAGCCGCUUGCUAUUCUGAUCGAGAAGCCAUUUACAUUAAAUGAGCGUAAAAAAAUACUCGAAGCUGUUCGAAAACAUGAAGAUAAAUGGGUACGCAAAGAAAUUUUUUCUGUGAACGACACUGUUAUUAUAUUUGAUGCUAAUUCAACUGACAUGUUCAAAUGCAAGAGAGCUAAAGUCUUAAACAAAGGAAAUCACAAUUCCACAGUCUUUCUUCUUGAUUUUGGAUUUGAAAUUACAGUACAAAAUAGUUCCAUUGGUCUAAUUAGCCACCCCGAAGUCCCUACCAAUGGAAAAAAAACUUGUUUCCUUGCUCAAUUCACGGGAAGUGUUAAUGUAAAUUGUGGCUUAAAGCAACAAGAUGGGGGUUUUGAAAUUUCUCAUAUCCAAAAUGGAUUUCCUAAGGCUCAGCUUUUAAAUGUUAUUGACUAGUCAGAACGAAGCUUCUUUUUCAUUUUUUACUAUCCAAACAUUAUUUCGAGACUCCACUCUAUGUGUUAACAUUGAAUUUGAUUUCGUUCGAAAACCUAUGUAAAUAAUUCGAAGUAAUAAUUGUAGUCUUACUCCUUGUUUUUGGUUUUGAAGUUAAAUCGAAGAUAAUGAAAUUGGAUUUUGAUGUCAAUAUAGCUGGACAAUAAACUUUUUCAUUGCUCAAAAAAUGGGUAAAUUCAACUCAUGAAAUUCCCUCAUUCCUAUUGCUCAGAAGCCAAUCAUUUAAAAAGACAAUUCACCUAAAAUAGACUAAACGCAACAUAUCAAUCAUUCGUAGACUUUUGUAAUUUUAUUGUUUUCACUAACAAGUGGCUAAAGUAGACGAAGACAGAGACUAACAAUAUAAAACUAUUUCAUGGUAAAGCAAAUGUCUGUCUAAGUUUAUCUAAUCUUAUGAGCUGGAUAGAUGAAUAAUUGGUCAAAUGAAGAGACAAAAUAUAAGAGGGGAAACAAGUGAGUCCAACCAAAUUAUUAGAGCUAAUCCCCUCACAAUGAUAUCAACACUAAACUGCAACAGGUUAAGUUGAAAUUGUAUCUUACACAUAAAUUGUAUUAUUGAUUUCUUAUUAAAACAUAUUCAGAAGUGAUUAAUUAAUAUUUUGAAAUAAAAAAUUAACAAAGUUAAUUUAUUUUUAUAUCAAUGCAAACAUGAGUACAGUUAAUUCAUUAAAGCGUCCAUUACCAGAACCAAGUGACUCUUGCAAAUUGUUGGCUUGCAAAACAUGCGAAAAAGAUGAUGUUGUUUUGAACCUGAAAACGUGUGGAUGCCUUUUAUGCAAGGCUUGUGAUGGUGAUGCUCGAGAUAAAUGUAUCUCUUGCCGAUCUAACUUCGAUCCAAAGAUAAAGUUGUCAUUCACGAAGAAUCCAAGAUGCAAGUUUUCUGAACUCAACCAGCCACAGUCAUCGGUUUCCUUUAGCUGAAAAAUCAAGACAUUUGUUAUACAAAAUGAUUCCAGAAGACAACAUCUUUUGGAGUUUCCAUUACCUUCAUCAUCCAACUACGGUGUUUCAACAAUUGAUUAGCAUGAUUGAAAUUAUAUUGAUUGUCUUAUAAAAAAGAUCAACUGAAGUAAAUUCAUAGACAGGUUACCGAGAAGAUUUAUAAUUUACUCUCAAUUUAGCCUCACUCCUAUCAGUGGCCAGGAUUUGACUAAAGUAACAAGAAGUAAUUGAGUUUUCUAGGAACGCAGGUUCGUUAGAAAACAUAUUCAGGGUGAUGGGAAAACAAUCCAUAUUGAAAAGCAUUGUCGAGGUAAGCAAAUUAUUUUUUAGUUUAAUUAUGCUAUGUUAUCGGAGUCCGUUUGUUUAGUUAGGUGAUGAUCUAAAUGAAGAUCAUGAAAUAAAAGACAAAAGUUCAGCUUUUAGAUAUUGCAACCUUUUCCGUGUUUUUAUGCUCUAUGAAAAUUUUUCAACCUGGAUAGUAGUUAUAAUGCAUAUCUACUUCGAAUGGUACUUGAUUCUGCUAUUUUAAGGCCUUUUAAUGUGUAACAGAACAUUGAAUGCAUAUCAAAAGAAACAGAUUAUAUUAUUCAAUAAUAUUUCAUUCUAAUAUUAGUAUCCCUUCGGUACUACCGAUAAUAUUACUUAAAAGUGAAAUAUUGCAAAAUGUUGCAUCAUGAUCUAUGACGAAACAGGCGAAGUGAUGGGCGAUUUUGGAUUUCAGAUUUCGAUUUAAACUAGAAAUGUGAUUAAUCGAUUUUCAUUGUAAACAAAACAUGAAACUCAGCAUAUAAAAGGCAUAAAAUGUAGCAAUUUGGUAGAAAUUUAAGAAAGAAUAAUUGAUUAACAUAUUGGGCUUAGUUCUGUUUCUUCCAAACUCUUAACUAAUGGAUCUUGACUUCAGCUGUCAAGCUUGAACCCCUUAGGGCAAUCAUGCUCGCUUUCGAUUGUCGAUUUUAUAAACAAAUCAAAUAAUCGAUCACAAAGUUGGUUAGCGAUGAUCGAUUUUAUCGAUAAUCGAAUCAAUUGGUUACAAGCAUCAUAACGUUUUCUCGUCAACAAGUUGAACUUCAAUUGUGUCUUUCGUUGAAAUUACAUCAUUCAUUCACUAUUAAAACCUAUUAAGCAGUGAUUGCUUCAAAAUUUAUAAUAACAGUUUAGCAAAAGUUAAUUAAUUUUUAUAUAUGUGACAAAAAUGAACACGGUUAAUUCAUUGAAGCGUCCAUUUACAGAAACAAGUGAUUCUUGUAAAUUGUUAGUUUGCAAAACAUGUAAGAAAGAUGAACCUGUUGUCUUGAACCUGAAAACAUGUGGAUGCCUUUUCUGUGAAUCUUGUGACGGUGAUUCUCGGAAUAAAUGUAUUUCUUGCGACUCUGAAGUGGAUCCAAAGAUAAAGUUAACAUUUACGAAGAAACUAAAAUGCAAGUUUUAUGAGCGCAACAAGUGCUAUAGUUUUGCUGAAUACAAAUGUAAAUGUCUCAACUGUUUUGUCUGUGAAUUGUGCCUCAACUUCGUUCACCGGAAAAGGGUGAGUGGAUCUUGUGAUCCUGAAGUUUUGACACCCAAAGUUACCAAUAGUCCUGAACCAUGUCAAUCAUGCAAAGAAUUUAUUGCUGAAUUUAAAAUGACUUCAGCACCGUAUUCAAAAAUUUGCUUCAAUUGUUCAACAAACAGUAAUUCUGAAUGUAUUCCAUAUGUAACAAAUCCUGAUGAAGAUCUAGAUUGGGACCAGUUUUAUAAAGAUUUUGUACAAUCUUCCCAAAUGGCUUCCGAUAAAAUUAAAAAAAACAGAAGAAGUAUUAGAAUUAGUCAGUUGGGAUCGUGAACAGAAGAUAAAAAUAUGCAAAGAUUUAAUAACUGAAAUACAAAAGUGUUUAGACGAAUAUACUGAAGUAUAUGAUCGACACAUUGUAACACUCAAACAACAACUUGAAAAUUCCAAAAAGGAUUAUUUAAGACCCGAUGGUACAGCUAAAACUAUUCUUGAUCUUCUCAAAAAUAAAGAAUUGGCUUUACAUGGAAAAAAUGGAAAAGAUCAAAUGACUAAUUUGUUAAACUAUUAUCGGGAAAAACAUAACUACAACCCUCGAUAUCCUGCAACUAGCCGAAUAAAGGCAUUGCUCUCCUCAUUCGACUCAGCGAAGUUGGGUUUAAGUGUUGAUAGUGUAGGAGUUAGCGACAAUGGAUUCAAGCCGCUUGCUAUUCUGGUCGAGAAGCCAUCUGCAGCAAAUCAGCGUAAAAAAACACUGAAAAAUAUUCAGAAACAUGAAGAUAAAUGGGUACGCAAAGAAAGUUUUACUGUUAACGACAUUGUUUUUAUAUUUGAUGCUAAUACAACCGACACGUUCAAAUGCAAGAGAGCAAGAAUCUUGAGCAAAGGAAAUCGCAAUUCCACAGUCUUUCUUCUUGAUUUUGGCUUUGAAAUUUCAGUCAAAAAUAGUUCUAUUGGUCAAAUUAACCACAUCGAAGUUCCUACCAAUGGAAAAAAAACUUGUUUCCUUGCUCAACUCACGGGAAGUGUUAAUGUAAAUUGUGGCUUAAAGCAACAGGAUUGUAUUAUAUUUCCGAAAUUUCCGAAAUACACAAUGGAUUUCCUAAGGCUCAGCAGAUAAAUGUUAUUCAUUAGUCAGAGCGAAGUUUCUUUUUAAUUUUUCACAAUUCAAACAAUAUUCCAAGAUUGCACUAUACGUGUUGACAUUGAAUUUGAUUACGUUCACAUCGAUAACCCAUGUAAAUAAUUCCAAGUUAAAUAAUUGUAGUCUCUUUGUUUUUGGUUUUGAAAUUAAAUAAAAUAUAAUGACAUUGGUUUUUCGAUGCCAA